UCCAUUAUGGCAGAAUUAGUGCAAUGAAUUUAAGCUUCAUAUAUAAAUAUUAUAUUUUAUUGGAA
rnacentral:tRNA from 1 species